GUCCCAAGCAGCCCCCACCUGGCCGGCGACCCUCCGGCGACGGCCAGACCACCAGAAACGGCGGCAAGAGAGGGAGAAGAGAGAGAAAACCUGCGCACAGUGGGCAGCGCCUUUCCGGCGCGAUUCCGGCUUCGUCCGACGUCCGAUCGAGGCGAUUCUAGUGGCGUUGGAAAGCUUGUUCCGAGAGCUUUCUUUUGACACCAAUUUUGAAGCAAAUGGAGGUCGGAUGAGUGAGAUAUGGAGGAAAGAAGUUUCGGGUUUUUCAAGCUUUUUCGUCAGAUCUACGACGAUCCGACCAUUGGAUCGACGAUCCGAGACCACAUAUGGACUGAGGAAGAGGAGAGGAACAUGGUGGUAUGAUCAGAUCCGGCAAAUGUCGCCAGCGGCCGGCGACCGGCCACCGUACGCGGUGGUUCCGGCAGUGGCUCCGGUGGACUAUGGAGAUAAUUCAACUUCCAGAGGCUUCCUCGUAAAUUUUUGGAAUUUUUGAGACACAGAUAAACUUCGGGUGAUCGAGGUCAGCUAUUUUCCUGCAUCCAGCAGCCACAAUAGUCAUCGGUGUACUGCCACAGGAGGAGUUAUUUUACAGAGCAACCUGUUUUCUUCCUCGCAGGUUUAACGUCGAUUAUUUAAUUAUUUUAUUAUCUUUUCUAAAUUUAAAAUCUAGAACUCCGCAUGUGUUAGUAAUAGUGUGGACCUUGAUAGAAAUUGUGUUAAUUUAA